UUGUGCUGCGACAGAAGGUCGCCUCAUUCAAAGAAACAUUGCCAAAGAAACCUUCAUAUGUGCAGCUUCAAGUAGUCCUUUGUCAAGAACAUUGGGUUUCAACUGAGAACCAAACGGCAUCUCCUGGCUCCGUUGCUCCUCUAAAAAUGAGCUGCAAGAUAAUUCAAAAGGAGAGAAACUAGCAUUAAAGAGUUAAGAUAAAGCUGAAACUCAUGGACUCAUCUGAAGAAACUCGAAGAAAUUUGUGAUCAAAAGGUAAAGAAUUUAGGAUCGAAAUCCGUG
rnacentral:misc_RNA from 1 species